CAGUUCUUUAAAAUAUCACCCUGUAUCUUCUUAUAGGAUUUGCUCAGAAAUCUGGUAUCAGUAUGAUUCUUGUUCCCAGGACGUGAGGUACUUCUUCCCCGACGGCUCAGCUCCCUUGUCAUCCCCACCGUCUGCCUCUCCCACAUCACCUCCCAGGACCGCUCUAGACCGAUGUCCGACACACUAAGCUGCCCUUCGGGGGGUCCAUCCCUGUUUACAGUUCUGGUCAUCAUAAGAGCGGAAAGAAGAAAUGGAGGCACAGAGACAUUAGGUCAACUGCCCAAUGUCACACAGCUGGACAGUAGCAGAGCAUGCUUUGGCAUCAAGGCAGGCUGGCUCCAGGCUCCAGCCACAAUGCUACCUUCCUUAUCCCACCUCCUUAUUACUUAUUUCAACGAGCCUAACAUUGACUUUUUCCUGGCUUUGUAUUUUCAAGAAAUUUCAGACAUAUGGAAAAGUUGCAAGAGUAUACAGAGAGAGCUUCUGUACCUCCUCAGCCAGGUUCCCUAUGGUACCAUGAUCAGAACCAGGAAAUUAACAUUGGUACAAUGCUAUUGACUAAACUGAAGACCUCAUUCAAGUGUCACCAGUUUUUUGACUAACAUC